rnacentral:lncRNA from 1 species
CUGGAAAUCGAGUUCUGAAAGGGUAUUGAAAAAAAAAAAUUGAAAAAAAAAAUGAUGGCGAUCUUGAGUCAUUUGUCUUUCUUGCAAAUCUUCAAACUCUUGUUUUUGGAAAAUAGCAAAAAAAUGAUCAAAAAAAAAAUGGCAAUAAAAACAAAAGUUGCAGUGUCAGACUUUUCCGAGGUCAAAUGUUUAAUCAAAAAUAACAAUUUUGAUGUUUCUCACAAGAUGUUUGUGCACAUGCUGCUUGAAAACCUCCACCCUUCACUUUUCCAAGAUAAAGGAUCGUCCACAACAAACAUCGUCGCUGCCCUCAAUAACAAAGUAAACCUUUUCACUGAGGCAGAUUGGCUUGGCCAAAAUUUUUCUCGCUUGCGCUAGUAGGGUGAUCCCCGAAUCCAUUGAGACAAAAUA